GCACUACUGAAGAGUCCCAUACUAGGACGAGACAGCUUUCCAGUGC
rnacentral:hammerhead_ribozyme from 1 species